rnacentral:rRNA from 1 species
UAGUCAUAUGCUUGUCUCAAAGAUUAAGCCAUGCAUGUCUAAGUACUUACCGCCUUAAGGUGAAACCGCGAAUGGCUCAUUAAAUCAGUUACGGUUCCUUUGAUAUUGAGUAUCUACAUGGAUAACUGUGGUAAUUCUAGAGCUAAUACGUGCACAAAAGCUUUGACCCGUAAGGGAAAAAGCGCAUUUAUUAGACCAAGACCAAUGGGACCCUCACGGGUUCCUAGUCAAUGGUGACUCUGGAUAACUGAGCUAAUCGCAUGGCCACUGCGCCGGCGAUGAGUCUUUCAAGUGUCUGCCUUAUCAACUGUCGAUGGUAGGUUAUGCGCCUACCAUGGUUGUAACGGGUAACGGGGAAUCAGGGUUCGAUUCCGGAGAGGGAGCCUGAGAAACGGCUACCACAUCCAAGGAAGGCAGCAGGCACGCAAAUUACCCACUCCCGGCACGGGGAGGUAGUGACGAAAAAUAACAAUACGGGACUCUUUUGAGGCCCCGUAAUUGGAAUGAGUACAAUCUAAAUCCUUUAACGAGGAUCAAUUGGAGGGCAAGUCUGGUGCCAGCAGCCGCGGUAAUUCCAGCUCCAAUAGCGUAUAUUAAAGUUGUUGCGGUUAAAAAGCUCGUAGUUGGAUCUCAGUUCAUGCUUUGUGGUCCACCUUUCGGUGGUUACUACUUAGCUGAGCAUUUUAUAGACUGUCUCUUGAUUCUCUUAACCGAGUGUCAUGAGCGAUCUGUACGUUUACUUUGAACAAAUUUGAGUGCUCAAAGCAGGCAUUUACCGCCCGAAAAAUCAUGCAUGGAAUAAUGAAAUAGGACCUUGGUUCUAUUUUGUUGGUCUUCGGAAUCCGAGGUAAUGAUUAAGAGGGACAGACGGGGGCAUUCGUAUUGCGGCGCUAGAGGUGAAAUUCUUGGACCGUCGCAAGACGAACUACAGCGAAAGCAUUUGCCAAGAAUGUUUUCAUUAAUCAAGAACGAAAGUUAGAGGUUCGAAGGCGAUCAGAUACCGCCCUAGUUCUAACCAUAAACGAUGUCAACCAGCGAUCAGCCUGAGUUCUUUAAAUGACUCGGCUGGAAGCUUCCGGGAAACCAAAGUUUUUCGGUUCCGGGGGAAGUAUGGUUGCAAAGCUGAAACUUAAAGGAAUUGACGGAAGGGCACCACCAGGAGUGGAGCCUGCGGCUUAAUUUGACUCAACACGGGAAAACUUACCCGGCCCGGACACUGGGAGGAUUGACAGAUUGAGAGCUCUUUCUUGAUUCAGUGGGUGGUGGUGCAUGGCCGUUCUUAGUUGGUGGAGCGAUUUGUCUGGUUAAUUCCGAUAACGAACGAGACUCUAGCCUGCUAAAUAGACUGUUAACUCACAUUGUUGCGUUAACAGGACUUCUUAGAGGGACAGGCGGCGACUCAGCCGCACGAAACAGAGCAAUAACAGGUCUGUGAUGCCCUUAGAUGUCCGGGGCCGCACGCGCGCUACACUGAAGUGAGCAGCGUGCUUAAUAAACCCGCUUUGACAGGAGUGGGUAACCCAAUUAACUUUCUUCGUGAUUGGGAUCGGGCAUUGUAAUUAUUGCCCGUGAACGAGGAAUUCCCAGUAAGCGUGAGUCAUCAGCUCGCGUUGAUUACGUCCCUGCCCUUUGUACACACCGCCCGUCGCUACUACCGAUUGAAUGAUUUAGUGAGGUCUUCGGAUCGGUCGACGAAGCUACUUUCGGGUGGCAUCGUUGUGCUGAGAAGAUGCCCAAACUUGAUCAUUUAGAGGAAGUAAAAGUCGUAACAAGGUUUCC